UACAGAGGGUGCGAGCGUUGUCCGGAAUCACUGGGCGUAAAGGGCGCGUAGGCGGCUCGGUCAGCGUGCGGUGAAAGCCCGGGGCUCAACCCCGGGUCGGCCGUGCGAACUGCUGGGCUGGAGCACUGUAGAGGCAGGUGGAAUUCCGGGUGUAGCGGUGGAAUGCGUAGAGAUCCGGAAGAACACCGGUGGCGAAGGCGACACGCUGGGCCGUACCUGACACUGAACCGCGACAGCAUGGGGAGCAAACAGG
rnacentral:rRNA from 1 species